rnacentral:rRNA from 1 species
CCUACGGGAGACAGCAGUGAGGAAUAUUGGUCAAUGGACGAGAGUCUGAACCAGCCAAGUAGCGUGAAGGAUGACUGCCCUAUGGGUUGUAAACUUCUUUUAUAUGGGAAUAAAAUGUUCCACGUGUGGGAUUUUGUAUGUACCAUAUGAAUAAGGAUCGGCUAACUCCGUGCCAGCAGCCGCGGUAAUACGGAGGAUCCGAGCGUUAUCCGGAUUUAUUGGGUUUAAAGGGAGCGUAGGUGGAUUGUUAAGUCAGUUGUGAAAGUUUGCGGCUCAACCGUAAGAUUGCAGUUGAAACUGGCAGUCUUGAGUACAGUAGAGGUGGGCGGAAUUCGUGGUGUAGCGGUGAAAUGCUUAGAUAUCACGAAGAACUCCGAUUGCGAAGGCAGUUCACUGGACUGCAACUGACACUGAGGCUCGAAAGUGUGGGUAUCAAACAGGAUUAGAUACCCCUGUAGUC